rnacentral:rRNA from 1 species
UGCUUUUGUACGGAACGAAAAGGUUUGGCCUAAUAAGCUGAGCUCAUGACGGUACCGUAAGAAUAAGCACCGGCUAACUACGUGCCAGCAGCCGCGGUAAUACGUAGGGUGCGAGCGUUAAUCGGAAUUACUGGGCGUAAAGCGUGCGCAGGCGGUUAUGUAAGACAGAUGUGAAAUCCCCGGGCUCAACCUGGGAACUGCAUUAGUGACUGCAUAGCUGGAGUACGGCAGAGGGGGAUGGAAUUCCGCGUGUAGCAGUGAAAUGCGUAGAUAUGCGGAGGAACACCGAUGGCGAAGGCAAUCCCCUGGGCCUGUACUGACGCUCAUGCACGAAAGCGUGGGGAGCAAACAGGAUUAGAUACCCUGGUAGUCCACGCCCUAAACGAUGUCAACUGGUUGUUGGGUCUUCACUGACUCAGUAACGAAGCUAACGCGUGAAGUUGACCGCCUGGGGAGUACG